AGACGAGGUUGAGACAGUGGAAGGCAGAGCCAGGGGACCCUGAGUGGAGUCCUCCUUCUGCUCUGUCCUUGCUUUGAUGAUGGGCAGUACUGCCCCUCCUGGGCUCAGGCUUUUUUUUUUUUUUUUUUCUUGAGACAGAGUCUCGCCCUGUCACCCAGGCUGGAGUGCAUUGGCGCAACGGGAUGGAGGGUGAGCUCGGCUCACUGCAACCUCUGCUUCCUGGGUUCAAGUGAUUCUCCUGCCUCAGCCUCCCGAGUAGCUGGGAUUACAGGCGCCCACUACCACGCCCAGCUAAUUUUUUGUAUCUUUAGUAGAGACAGGGUUUCACCAUGUUGGCCAGGCUGAUCUCGAACUCCUGACCUCGUGAUCUGCGCACCUCGGCCUCCCAAAUUGCUUUCAUGCUGAGAUCACCAACACGUGGGACCACACAAUUCAUCCUUGGGAAGGCCAAGGUGGGAAGCGAAAUCUGGCCCAAUAUUGAAGCCAUAAGCAUAUGUUGAACUUUCAUGAGCCAUGAGCAAGGACUCACACCCCAGCAGGACUCUGCAGCCUGGGAGAAGCCAAGGUUCAUCACUGAGGUCCUGAUUCCUGGACCAGGUAGCAGAA
rnacentral:lncRNA from 1 species